GCCCUCUCUGGGGAGUUCUUUUGUGGCACAGUGGAUUAAGGAUCCCGUGCUGUCACAGCAUCAGCUUGGUUUGCUGCUGUGGCGCAGGUUUGAUCCCUGGCCCAGGGCAUAGCCAAAAAUCCCUCAGGAUUAGGCCUUCUCUAACCCUGAGUAUCAGUUUCCUGUUCUAGGUGGGGUUUUCUGGAGGAAGAUGCAGAGACACCAUUAGGGUACAAGAUUUUAAAUUGAAACCAAGAGCUAAAAAGGAAGGAGAAAGAACAGGACUGGGUAGAGGGAAAAUUUAAACUGUGAGGGUCCCAGUAAAGUCUAUCCACCCUGGCUCUAGAAUAAAUUUUGUCUGUUCAGGUGGUUCUGCACUGGGUUCAAUGGCCUGGUCUUUAUAGGCCUGUUUGCAUGCUCCUUUCUAGAUGAUGCUGCCAGGAAGAGCAUAACCUGACAAGGUGGUCUCUGCAGCUUAGGCAGCAGCUGACAGCUGGAGUUUGCCUGCUGACCUCACUCCACGCAGCCAGGGAGCACAUCCUUCCAUAAAGGAAUAUUUAAGUUGGCCGCCACUAGAUGCAAGCUGAAAUUGAUGGCACAGAUGGAGGUAACCAUCGUUUCCGCCCCAACGGUGACCUAAUGCCACAUUCUAAGCUCAGCAAAGUAUGCAGAGGCUCAGAUGGAGCUCUGGCUCCAUGCAAAGGGAGGAAUUAGGUCCAACGUGCAUACUGGUUCUCACAGCAUGUUAACUGGACCCAGGACUAAAAUGCCCCCUGACCUGAAGAACCAGCUCAUCAGGAAGGAUUGAUUGGGACUUUCCAAAUUUCCUGCAGGGGGGCAUCUGUACCAAGAACCUUAACUCACCAGCCCAAGGGGAUUUGCUGGGAGACCUUGAAACCCUGCCUGAUGGGUUCUGACCCAGCUGCCACUGCCAAAAAGUUCUCUCUGCUGAAGGCUUCCCUUCGUACUCCUGGGCCUUUCAGAGUCCCAGAAAGGAGGGGGAGAAAAAGGUAGUAGAAAGGGCCACCACUGAAUUCUUCUCAGAGAUUUCUCUAAUGCAUCACUUCUAUGAGUUCAGAGCUUCAAUAAACAGGAACAGGGCCUCCUUAAGAGCGUCUGUUGUUUAAUCUCCAGGGAAGGGAGGGGAGGGGGAUAAACAUGGGAGAGGAGAAACCUAGUAUGUGUGUAUAUGUGAUGUGUGUGUCUUCAUGUACUGGGUAGAUUGGGACAGUGAGGAGGAAAAUGGCAAAGCCUGUGCCAAGCAUAAAAGGGGGAGGUGGGAAGCCAUAUGCUGCACCUGAUCUCCUCCUC
rnacentral:lncRNA from 9 species